rnacentral:rRNA from 1 species
AGAGUUUGAGUCCUGGCUCAGGACGAACGCUGCGGCGUGCUUAACACAUGCAAGUCGACGGAAAGGCCCUGCUUGCAGGGUACUCGAGUGGCGAACGGGUGAGUAACACGUGGGUGAUCUGCCCUGCACUUCGGGAUAAGCCUGGGAAACUGGGUCUAAUACCGGAUAGGAGCCAUUUUUAGUGUGAUGGUUGGAAAGUUUUUUCCGGUGUAGGAUGAGCUCGCGGCCUAUCAGCUUGUUGGUGGGGUAAUGGCCUACCAAGGCGGCGACGGGUAGCCGGCCUGAGAGGGUGGACGGCCACAUUGGGACUGAGAUACGGCCCAGACCCCUACGGGAGGCAGCAGUGGGGAAUAUUGCACAAUGGGCGCAAGCCUGAUGCAGCGACGCCGCGUGGGGGAUGACGGCCUUCGGGUUGUAAACUCCUUUCGCUAGGGACGAAGCUUUUUGUGACGGUACCUAGAUAAGAAGCACCGGCUAACUACGUG